rnacentral:rRNA from 1 species
UACGUAGGGUCCGAGCGUUGUCCGGAAUUAUUGGGCGUAAAGGGCGCGUAGGCGGCCUUCUAAGUCGAACGUGAAAUCCCUGGGCUCAACCCAGGAACUGCGUCCGAUACUGGAAGGCUUGAAUCCGGGAGAGGGAUGCGGAAUUCCAGGUGUAGCGGUGAAAUGCGUAGAUAUCUGGAGGAACACCGGUGGCGAAGGCGGCAUCCUGGACCGGUAUUGACGCUGAGGCGCGAAAGCCAGGGGAGCAAACGGG